AACGAACGCUGGCGGCAGGCUUAACACAUGCAAGUCGAGCGCCCCGCAAGGGGAGCGGCAGACGGGUGAGUAACGCGUGGGAACCUACCUAGAGGUACGGAACAACUCCGGGAAACUGGAGCUAAUACCGUAUGUGCCCGAGAGGGGAAAGAUUUAUCGCCUUUAGAUGGGCCCGCGUCAGAUUAGCUAGUUGGUAGGGUAACGGCCUACCAAGGCGACGAUCUGUAGCUGGUCUGAGAGGAUGAUCAGCCACAUUGGGACUGAGACACGGCCCAAACUCCUACGGGAGGCAGCAGUGGGGAAUAUUGGACAAUGGGCGCAAGCCUGAUCCAGCCAUGCCGCGUGAGUGAUGAAGGCCUUAGGGUUGUAAAGCUCUUUCAGACGGAAAGAAAUCGCAUCUUCUAAUACAGGGUGUGGAUGACGGUACCGUAAGAAGAAGCACCGGCUAACUACGUG
rnacentral:rRNA from 1 species